AUUGAACGCUGGCGGAAUGCUUUACACAUGCAAGUCGAACGGCAGCACGGGGCAACCUGGUGGCGAGUGGCGAACGGGUGAGUAAUACAUCGGAACGUGCCCGAUCGUGGGGGAUAACGUAGCGAAAGUUACGCUAAUACCGCAUACGAUCUACGGAUGAAAGCGGGGGAUCGCAAGACCUCGCGCGAAUGGAGCGGCCGAUGUCAGAUUAGGUAGUUGGUGGGGUAAAGGCUCACCAAGCCAACGAUCUGUAGCUGGUCUGAGAGGACGACCAGCCACACUGGGACUGAGACACGGCCCAGACUCCUACGGGAGGCAGCAGUGGGGAAUUUUGGACAAUGGGCGCAAGCCUGAUCCAGCCAUUCCGCGUGCAGGAUGAAGGCCUUCGGGUUGUAAACUGCUUUUGUACGGAACGAAACGGCUCUCUCUAAUACGGGGGGCUAAUGACGGUACCGGAAUAAGAAGCACCGGCUAACUACGUGCCAGCCGCCGCGGUAAUAC
rnacentral:rRNA from 1 species